rnacentral:tRNA from 1 species
GGCACUAUAGCCAAGUGGUUAAGGCGACAGAUUAGAAUUAGCCAUUCGUGCUGGUUUCAUCUGUUACUCUCUGAGUGCGCAGGUUCAAAUCCUGCUGGUGUCG